rfam:Cryptosporidium ubiquitum isolate 39726 contig_23, whole genome shotgun sequence.
GGGCUCGUGGUGCAGUGGUAGCUACGUGUGCUUUGCAUGCACAAGGUCCCGGGUUCAAUUCCCGGCGGGUCCA